rnacentral:lncRNA from 1 species
UUGAAAUUUCCUUGUGAUUUUAUUAACAUUUGACCAGUUCUUUCAAUGCUCUGAUAUGUUCAGGGGUUUUCUUUGCUUGUGUUUGUAUUUCAGGAAGAUACUUCAGGACAAGAACUUCCUGUUAAAUUGAAGCUCCUAACAAAGGGCAUUGUGAAUUUCUACUGCUUGGUUGGGUUACCAGAAUCUUUCAAAGCUUCCACUUCUAAAAUGGCUUUCAUCUCAUCCCAGCACAGUAGACAUAGACAUAGCUGUGUAUAUGUAACUCAAUGGAAGCCCAUCGUUAAAACUGUUCCCACAAAAAGCUUUAUUCUCUCUGAAUAUGCAUGUAUUAGGAGGAUGUUGUACUAGCCUGUGAUGUGUAAGGAAGAAACUCAGAAAAUACAGUGGAAUAAAAGAGAGCUAUACAAACCCCAGUUACAGUCGGAGAAUAUUGCUGGUAACAUAAGAUACCUGUAUUGUCCCUUCAAAUGAAAUCAGUGCUGUCCUG